UCCUACAUGGUCUAGUGGCUAGGAUACCUAGAUUUCACCCAGGAGGCCCGGGUUCGAUUCCCGGCGUGGGAA
rnacentral:tRNA from 1 species